AUUGAACGCUGGCGGCAUGCCUUACACAUGCAAGUCGAACGGCAGCGCGGGUUCUGGCGCCUGGUGGCGAGGGACGGGCGGGUGAGUAAUACAUAGGAACCCGUCCGGGGGGGGGGACGAGCCGGGAGCAAGCCGGAUUCAUCCCGCGAACGAUGUACGGAUGAAAGGGGGGGCCCUGCGGGCCUCGCGCGGUGGGGUUGGCGGAUGGCUGAUUAGCUAGUUGGUGGGGUAAAGGCCUACCAAGGCGACGAUCAGUAGCUGGUCUGAGAGGACGACCAGCCACACUGGGACUGAGACACGGCCCAGACUCCUACGGGAGGCAGCAGUGGGGAAUUUUGGACAAUGGGCGCAAGCCUGAUCCAGCAAUGCCGCGUGUGGGAUGAAGGCCUUCGGGUUGUAAAGUGCUUUUGUCCGGAAAGAAAAGCCUUCCCCUAAUACGGGCGGGGCAUGACGGUACCGGAAGAAUAAGCACCGGCUAACUACGUG
rnacentral:rRNA from 1 species